CAGAUUAACCAACUCAAGUGGCCUUAAGGUUGGGCCAUUUUGGCGGAGACAAGGCUACUUACUUUUACUUUGCUCAAUAUUCGGAUAGAAUAUGGUGUAGGACAGUUAUGAUUUUCUAUCGUGUAGAAAGAAUAGUGUCAGCUCUCUAUAAUAUACUGUAUUUCUAUCUGCAACGUUAUGUGUGUUACACACAGUAAGGCCAAGUACUGUCACACAAUCAUCCACGAGGGGGCAGCAUUAUCUUAUUUGAAAGCAGAUGUUCAUCAUUAGUAGAUUCUUCAGCGUUUGAGGUGUCUAACCGAUUUAAGUAUUUUCACAUCACUAGUGUAGUUUUCUAAAUUGUCAGGGAUACUACCACUGUUUCUACAGUAUUUCAAUAAUACCACAUUUCUUAUUCGGCGGAGAAAAUGUCGAGGCAGCAGGAACAACGAGCUUUGAUGACCUAAUUGAACGUGUUACUUCCCCUGAAGCUGUUCAAGUGUUCAACAUUUGGUCCUGCAGGUUGGACGAAGCUCCAUCUUCCCAGAUUCAGACAGCUGUCACAAGCUCACGUUAGAGGCCUUUAAAUUCAAGGAUUCCACCGCUGAAGAUGUCAAAUGUGCCGACCUGGUUAUCAGCCAUGCUGGUGUGUACAAUGUCCGAAGAAAUAAAAAAGCUAAACUACCAAA